UGCAGCAGCCUCCCGGAGGCACCUCCCACUUCUUUAUUUUUCCCUCCCACCCAAGGGUUCUUGAAGAGAAGUCCUCUGACCAGCAGCCUGAUCACCUGGAAAUUUGUUAGAAAUGUAGGUUCCUGGGCCUCCCGAGACUGACUGCUCAGAAGUUCUGGAGGUUAAGCCUGAGUUUGGUCUUCUGUUACUUGGAACUGAAAUAAUGUGCAUUGACACACCUAACAAGUCAAAGUAUUGUCUUUUGCUGGUCUGCUCUGGUCCUGGAAACAUCCACUGAUAGAAUCACUGGUCUGGGACAAAUUGUGGUACCCAAAGACCUCAGGAAGCACUUAGAAGCAUUACUCCUGAAGUCCCAUUCGUCCCAAGAAGAGUUGCUGGCUGGAGGAGACAAUAUGUAAACAUGUCAUGACAAGAUGGUGUGGUGAGUGCUAUGUUGGCAUGUUGGAGGCAAGCAUAGCCAUGCUCACAGUGAGGAAUGACUUAGGAGCGCAACCACAGCCCCAUGCUACCUUCCACCAUUUGGAUAAAAGAAGGAAAAUGCCUUCAAAUUGCGAUCCAUCAAGUCUGAGAUAAUCUGUUAUGGCAACGUAAGAAGCUAAUACAAGAUGCAGGAGUGAAGCAGCGAGGUCUGGAAAAAAGCUAUUGCAAAAAUACAGUCUCAGCAAGGGGAUAGAAGGAGCCCUGCAUUCUCUCCUGACACGCUUGACAAAAACAAACCCAACUAGAGGUCGCCAGCAACGGAGGGGCAUCCUGUGUAAGGACUUGGAAGAGGAGUUGUAUUGUCACCCCCUGGCCACUAGAGGACUUCAUCCUAUUUCAGUGGAGGAAGGCCUGUUAGGGGCCUCUCUAUACUGGUGGAGGUUUGGUCGUCUUCCCUUCACUUGAUUUCUGCCAGUGGCCUUAUGUGAGGAUGCUUCAUGAGAUGUCAAGUAUCCGAGGAGUCUGUGACACAACCAUCCAGUGGUGAAUUGCUAAGGAGCUCCUCUCCAGCCUGCUUGACUCUGAGGUUAAAAGAGUCUUCAUGUUGAGCACAAGUCAUCUCUUUGCACUUUCACCAGUUGUGUCCAUCUGAAAAACACAGAGGUCUGUCUCACUUCUGCAUCACAGUCCCUUCCAAGAAGCUCCACAAUGGUGAACAAGAAAGCAGAUAUCCUUGCUGACUGUUGGCAGCCGUUGUGGGACCACAAAGGCACCAGCCUCAGGAGAUGGGAAGACUGAGUUGCCAGGGACGUUGCUGAGCCAUUAGAGCCAUCCUUACCCACAAGCCCACCCCACCUUGGGACUUCCUCUUGGGCAAGUCUGUGAAUCUCCAUGUUGUUGAAUCCGUUUUGAAUUGGCUUUUCUUUUUCUUGAAGCUCAAGGCAUUUUAAUUGGCAUAACCUAGCCUAUAAAAGGAAGAUUAAUUUCCUUGACCGCAAGAAAGUGGAAUUCGAAUUAGAGGGAAUGAGAUAUUGAGAUAUCUCCCUCCAUAGCCAGAGCUGCCUUGCAAACAUGUCACCUUCCCAUGUUUUCCAAGUCAUAAAAGUAGUACAUGUCCAUCACAGACAAAUGGGGAGUGCAGAAAAGCACAAAGAAUAAAACAGAGACAGCAGGGUUCAGGCUUCGAGUUGUGGUGCAAUUGGCCCACAUCCACCCCACCCUCUCUUCACGCAGCAGAUGACUGGGACAUAAAGAAGCUGAUGGGGCCACUGCCACCGAAUUUCCACCUGCAGCCCUUCUCGGGGGCCACCACCAUGCUCCUCAACAGCUGUCACUGACAGGACAGAGCUUGAGGAUCUUGAGGAGCUACUGACCCUGCAGAACCGCUCUGAGACCAGGGGGAGCUUUUCCAGUAGAAUGAAAGGAUUGCUUCUGCUUUAACCUCUGAUGCUUUAUCAAGGCCGAGCUGAGGGCUGCACUAUCGGGAGCUUGAUGAGGAAACUGAGGCACAGAGAGAUGAAGGAACUUGCCCAAGGUCACACAGCUGAGGAACCCAGGCACUCAGAUUCUGGGGCCUGCUCUCAUAACCACAAUGCUACAUCCCUGCCUCUAACAUCGGGACAACCAGGCCUUCCUCACAGGCAUUAUCGGGACUAUAAGAUAAGAUGCAUAAGGUUUUAUCUCCAGAGAGAAGGCAGCUAUGGUCCAAGGUCAAACACAGAGGCUACAACUAGAAACCUCUAGACCAAGUUUGGUCCAUGUGGUGUUCUCUAUAGAGUUUCUUUCUUUUUAAUUUGGAUUUUCAAUACUUUAAAAUUAAGAGCACACACAUAACAGUAUCCUUUUUCAGCUUCCUUAAACCAUAUCUGAACAUUUGGCCAAAGUAGAUCCCUGCUGGGGCAUGAAAUAAUCAGCUGAUGCCGUUUCCCUCGGUCCUCACCAUCCUCUCACGCCUUCCCCUCCUGAGGCUACCGUCAGAGGCCAUUUCUCAUCCUGCAUGCACUGUAGCAUUUCUGACACUAGGUACACUUCGCUCGCUAUCUGCCUGGCCUCUGUGGGCAUGAGGGUUUGUAGACAGAGCAAAACCAAGUAGUUUGUGGGGGUGCGUGCCUAUCAUUUCCAAAGGGAGCCACAGGUCGGUCAUUUGCUAUCUAUGAGAUUCAAAGCUCAGGGUCUUCUCAGAGAGUAAACUCACGAAGGUACGUAGGAAUAUCUUGCAGGCAUUUCUUUCCAGCAUGCCACAAACCAGUGGUCUCACAGGGCAUGAUGUUUUAGUGAGAGCUGGGGCUAAACAUAAUGUUUUCAGCUUUUUUUUCCUUGCAUUUUUUUUUUCUCAGCUCUGGUCUUCUUCUUGGCAUUUUUGACACAUACCACACGCUGGCCCAUCAUUUCCUUCUGGUUACCCAGGUGUUCCAAAAGAUCCCCCUCCAGUGAUACACUCCGUUCUCCAGGGCUCAGAUCUGAAAGUGUAGCUAUGUUACCUGGGAGAGAUGACAUGAACACACCAUUUUCCCAAGCAGGGCAACCAUCAAGGUUUACUCUGAUGGAUACCCUGACUGGUCAAUGGGCAGACAGGCCACCACCCCCUCCCCUCUGGUCUCUGCAGGAAACAGGUGGCACACACAGAGGAGAGUUACAUCAGAGUGCAGGGCAGGACAAAGGGGACCAGCAAGAAAUGGAGAGGCACCUGGGGUCAGCCCUUGCAGGAAGCCCUGACCACUCCCAAACUGAAUGGGAAAAGCGGGACAGGUGCUGUUGGACCCCAGAGACAGCUGGGGCAUGGAAAGAGGCUCUGCUUUCCAGAAGCUGUGGGCAGACAGCCAUGACCAGACCUGCAGUGGAGCAGGACCCUACAUGGCAAAAGGCUUGGCAGACGUGACAAAGUGAAGAGUCUUGAGAUGGGGAGAUGAUCCUGCAUUGUCUGGAUGGGCUGGGUGUGGUCGUGACAGUUUUCAUAAGAGGGCUGCAGGACUACACUUUCUUCCUGAGAGGGUUCCUAACUUCUCUGAAGUCAAGUUGAGCGUCCACAUCUAAAGCCCCAGGAUGAGCCUCCUGGUGGAGGAGAGUGCUCCUGCCUCUCCUGCCUCUCUUUAUGGAUUGUAUGUCAAGGAGACACCCGCAAGGACUCUGGUGGCCUGGACAUACUUCUGGAAGACUGACUCUUCCAGACUGAUGAAACCAAAGCCCACAGCUAGCACCAACUUGCCAGCCAUGUGAGUGAAUCAUCGUGGAAAUGAUAUCUGCCAGCCCUGGCCAAAAUGCCCCAGCUGAUGCCACAUAAAGCAAAAAUUAGCAGUUGCCACCAAGCCCUGCCUAAAUUGCAAAAUCGUUGAGAUGUUUCCCAAAAUGCCUCACAAAUAUUCUGGGAUGUCACCUUUUGCAAUGGAUCUGCAGGUUCCAUCGUGCCCUAGCUUUUUGCCUGAGGGGAGGCUCUGGCCAUGGGUCCCUUUUCAGGUCAGCAAGAGUGCCGUGCAGAGCAGGAGCCCCAUCCAAUGCUCUACAGCUCUGGACUCCUGCCAAUCCUCCCUUGGCCAAGGCCUCCAGAAGUCAGAGAGCGAGGGAACAUAUGAACUAUCUAUCCUGGUCUACUGUCAAUCUCCUUCCACUGAAAUAUCAGCUCCACAAGGCUAGUGGUGUCAUGGAUUUGCUCACUGCUGUAGGUGCCUAGUGAAUAUUUGCUGGAAAUGGAAUACAUGGAUAGGCUUGGAGCUAACUAGAAAAAGCUUGAAAAGUUCUUUGGAAGUGGAAACCGUUUCAGAAGACCUGGAGUCUUUCUCAUCAUGGUAGUCUGCAGACCCAAUCAAUCUAUGAGAAACCCAGCAGUUCCACCUCACUGCUGCACACUGAUUCCAUUACCCAGGGCUUCUGGAGGUCUUCAUUCAUCAAGGCCUGUCUGCUCUCACUGAGUGCGCUACUUUACCCCAAUGUUAUCACAGACAACCAGGACUAUAUUAAACUUGUCAAAGUAAGAGUCUUUUAGAGGGAUGGAACAUCCUGAACUUUUUUUUCAAAUGGAGACAUUUUCCUGUUUCUUGAGUGUGUUAAGAGGGACAGGGGUCCCCCACCUUUAGUUUUUGGCCAUAACAGAAAAAAAAUUUUGAUAAAGAUCAGAUAUUAUUAUUACCAUUUAAAUAUUUACCUAUGAAAUUUAGUGAGUGGCAAUGAAACUUCUUGGCAUUUAAUUUUUUUGAUGUUCUGCCAUUGGGAACUUAUCUUUGCAACACUUUUUGUUAAGAGAUGUCAUGAUUCUGGGUUGGAGGAAGAUAGGAAUAUCUAAAAUGCUAUGUCAUGGUUCAAUUGUACAGAAAAAAAUAAGGUAAACAUGAAAAGAAAAUCCAUUUGACCAUGGUGUUUGUGGCUAUUUCCUUCUGGCAUCUCAAGGGUUGCGAUGUAAGGUACUUAAAUCAACAGCCAGUGGAUGACUUUUUCCUUCACACUCCAGAGUGAGUCUCUGCUCAGAAACUCUGACCACUCAAUCUGAAAUUCUCCUCGUCUGUUACUGUCUAAAUUCCUACCUUGCUUUAUUUUCCUUUGUGGUACUUAUCCCCACCUCAAGUUAUGUGUGUUCAUGUGUUUGCUGUCUGCCUCCCUACUAGAGUGUCAGCUCUACAGGGCAAAGAUAUCAGCUGUCUUCUUCAUUAUGCUGUAUCUCUAGUGGCUAGAACAGUGCCUGGCAGGUGGCAGCACUCAGUGAGUAACUGUUGAAUAAAUAAAUAAAUAAGUCAAUAAGUGGA